UACGUAGGGGGCUAGCGUUAUCCGGAUUUACUGGGCGUAAAGGGUGCGUAGGUGGUUUUUUAAGUCAGGAGUGAAAGGCUACGGCUCAACCGUAGUAAGCUCUUGAAACUGGGAAACUUGAGUGCAGGAGAGGAAAGUGGAAUUCCUAGUGUAGCGGUGAAAUGCGUAGAUAUUAGGAGGAACACCAGUAGCGAAGGCGGCUUUCUGGACUGUAACUGACACUGAGGCACGAAAGCGUGGGGAGCAAACAG
rnacentral:rRNA from 1 species